GGCACGAAAGUGUCGGGCAUGACGCACCCGCUCCCCCGAGUCCCCUGAAAAUAGG
rfam:Kamiti River virus isolate SR-75 polyprotein precursor, gene, complete cds